rnacentral:rRNA from 1 species
GAUGAACGCUGGCGGCGUGCCUAAUACAUGCAAGUCGAGCGAACGGACGAGGAGCUUGCUUCUCUGACGUUAGCGGCGGACGGGUGAGUAACACGUGGAUAACCUACCUAUAAGACUGGGAUAACUUCGGGAAACCGUAGCUAAUACCGGAUAAUAUAUUGAACCGCAUGGUUCAAUAGUGAAAGACGGUCUUGCUGUCACUUAUAGAUGGAUCCGCGCUGCAUUAGCUAGUUGGUAAGGUAACGGCUUACCAAGGCAACGAUGCGUAGCCGACCUGAGAGGGUGAUCGGCCACACUGGAACUGAGACACGGUCCAGACUCCUACGGGAGGCAGCAGUAGGGAAUCUUCCGCAAUGGGCGAAAGCCUGACGGAGCAACGCCGCGUGAGUGAUGAAGGUCUUCGGAUCGUAAAACUCUGUUAUUAGGGAAGAACAAAUGUGUAAGUAACUAUGCACGUCUUGACGGUACCUAAUCAGAAAGCCACGGCUAACUACGUG